UCCCUGGUGGCUCAGAUGGUAAAGCGUCUGCCUGCAAUGCAGGAGACCCGGGUUUGAUCCCUGGGUGGGGAA
rnacentral:tRNA from 1 species